rnacentral:rRNA from 1 species
AUUGAACGCUGGCGGCAGGCCUAACACAUGCAAGUCGAGCGGAUGAAGGGAGCUUGCUCCUGGAUUCAGCGGCGGACGGGUGAGUAAUGCCUAGGAAUCUGCCUGGUAGUGGGGGAUAACGUCCGGAAACGGGCGCUAAUACCCCAUACGUCCUGAGGGAGAAAGUGGGGGAUCUUCGGACCUCACGCUAUCAGAUGAGCCUAGGUCGGAUUAGCUAGUUGGUGGGGUAAAGGCCUACCAAGGCGACGAUCCGUAACUGGUCUGAGAGGAUGAUCAGUCACACUGGAACUGAGACACGGUCCAGACUCCUACGGGAGGCAGCAGUGGGGAAUCUUGGACCAGGGGCGAAAGCCUGAUCCAGCCAUGCCGCGUGUGUGAAGAAGGUCUUCGGAUUGUAAAGCACUUUAAGUUGGGAGGAAGGGCAGUAAGUGAAUACCUUGAUGUUUUGACGUUACCAACAGAAUAAGCAACGGCUAACUACGUG